CCACAGGAGUAGCCUUAAAAAGAAAAAAAAAAAAAAAGAGUUGUUAUCUUCAGAAAUACACUCUGAGUUGAGGGGUUAUUGCAAGAUGACUCUUAAAUGUGCAGUCAGAGUUUGGAAUUUGGUGGCAUGUCAGCUGACUGUCCCACUCCUUGGCGCAGUCCACAAGUGUCUGUCUUCCUUACCAGGGCUGAGUACCAGGUAUGUCAGAAGGGUGGUCAAAAGCAGAGGUACUUAGUUGCCAUAUGCCUUUUUUGCAGAAGUAGUAUUCAAAUUAUUUAAUAUUUGGUGUGGUGGGCUAGCCAGCCGGCAUAUCUCCUGUCUUCCUAGAUGUCUCAGUCAGAAUCCCGAAGAAGUUGCAGUUCCCACAAGUAACCGCAUGAAGGCAGCUCUGAGGAAUUAAUGGCCAGCUUUGGCAGAGGAGACAUGAAGGAAUAGAAGCUGGCUGGCUGGUUGCUGAGGUGGCUAGUGCCAGGAUGAAGAGCUUGGGAGUUCCAGAAGGGAAUGCAAGAAAAGCCACGGAGAGAGGAAGUUCUAAAACCAUUGUAGCAAACAGUACACAGAAUCGCUGGCAUCCUUUUCAACCACCUGCUACUUUGAUGUAUUGGGUAUGUGUAAAUGUACAAGCUCUAAGCCAAUAUAUCGAUGAAUGUAGAGAUGGUUGUGACACAUCUUUCUGUGUGUAGUUGAUAUUUAUAGAAAAAAAUUAAUAGGAGUUCCCUUGUGUCACAGCAGAUUAAGGGUCUGGUGUUGUCACUGCAGCAGCUCAGGUCACUGCUGUGGCAUGGGUUCAGUCUCUUGCCCAGGAACUUGCACGUGCCACAAAUGCAGCCACUCCCCCAAAAAGAGAAAACAAAAUUAAUGGCAGUUGUGCGGAAAAUGAGACAAAUACUGUGCCUGGAAACCUAAGAUGUGUGUAGGAAACAGAUGCAAAAGUAUUAUUGAUAUUUGUUCUGAUAGGAUUGAAGGAGAAAGAGAAUGCUGUGGAGACUUCAAGCAGUAAGAAGUUGAGCCAGGUAGGUUCGAAUACAUUAGAGAUGGCUGACUGAAGAUGAGAAGGAUUGAAACACUACUACUUUAAGUAUAACAAAGCAGCUACCAAU